rnacentral:lncRNA from 1 species
UGGCAGUCAGGCUUAGAUGCUGUUUGGCGGCCUUCCUUCAGGUGGGUACCAGCCUGGCUCAGGUGGGUACCAGCCUGGCUCAGGUGGGCACUGAUGAAACAAGUGCACAAAGGAAGGAGAAGCUAAUGUUGUGGGAGGGGCCGAAAGAAAUCUUAAACCUUUAGAGCGGCUCAGGAAGAGCAGGAAGUGCUUCUGAAAAACAGACACUAUGGCUGCCAGCUGUUUUAGAUUCCCCAGCCCCAACUUGCUCUGGAGACCUCCAGCCCCCAACCUGCUGCCUGGUACACGAAAGGCCUCCAUCAGCAUCUGCUGAGCGUCUCACUCCAUUGCUGUGGAGCAGCCCACAGGAUAUAAGCAGAGCCCUCAACGUGGGAAGCCCCAAAGUAGUUCUCCAGCCUUACCACUCAUUUUAUGUGGAAGAAUCCUGCAAGGUUUUUGAGUCCUAGGAUUUAUUAUGCAUGCCUUCCAAUGUCUGGAGAUUUCUUGGUGGCAUCUCCAGUCAAAAGAACAUUUGGCGGAUUACCUUGGAAGUGAAGUCAUCACAGGUGUCCUGGAGCACUGCCCAGUCAGCAAGCUGAGUGUUCCCAGAGAGAACUCAUAUGCCAGUUCAACUCCACCAUUUUGUCUCUUAGUUCACAUGCUUGAGCCUACUCGCCCAACUCCUGAGAUCUAAUUAGGAAGCUGAUCACCAGUUUUGGGUUUUUCUAUCUAUUGGGGAGACUGCCUUUCUCUGGCGCUGGAUGAGAUCAAUUACUAUUUUAGACAGCUUAACAGCCUCCUGACGAUCACGUGAUGGUCUUCUGAUAUUCCUAGGGUUGGAGGUGGGGCUCUCCUGCCCUGCUUAUGUCUGCCGCUACCCACUGUAACAACACUGCCACGCAGGCUCUGCAUCAGGAGACCCACUGCGGCUUCUGGACAACACGAGAUGAAACCCAGGUUGCCCAGGACCUUCUGCUUGCCAACUGGUCAGGAGUCGUGUGGCUAUCUCACUUGUGCCUCCUAAAUCCCUCUCUCGGAAGGGGAGGUGGAGGGGUGCUGGUAUUGUCCUCAUUUUACCAAACCUCACGCCUAGUUCCCUUUCCACCAUCCCUGGGGCCUUCCAGAAGAAUCUCUGUGCUUGGAGAAAGGAGUACACAGCCUGAGGCUGGGUACGGGAUGCAAACAUCCAUUCAUUCAACUAUUUCUUGGGAACUGGGGCUGCGCAGGACAGGGAGACCCGGGACACUGUCCUAACGGAAGCCAAGACCUGGGGAAGCCCAAGUUGGACUCAGCUAAUUAUAAUUGCAAUUAUAACUUCGUACUCGAGUGCUUUCAAGGGUUGCCGAGGAGGCGAGGAGGGAAGGAAGGGGCCACAGGUCUGUGGCUGUCGGGUUUGCUGUGCCAGUUUCUGCCGGAUGGAGGCCGCGAGCAUG